rnacentral:rRNA from 1 species
AGUGAACGCUGGCGGUGGGCCUAACACAUGCAAGUCGAACGGCAGCACAGUAAGAGCUUGCUCUUACGGGUGGCGAGUGGCGGACGGGUGAGGAAUACAUCGGAAUCUACUUUUUCGUGGGGGAUAACGUAGGGAAACUUACGCUAAUACCGCAUACGACCUACGGGUGAAAGCAGGGAUCUUCGGACCUUGCGCGAUUGAAUGAGCCGAUGUCGGAUUAGCUAGUUGGCGGGGUAAAGGCCCACCAAGGCGACGAUCCGUAGCUGGUCUGAGAGGAUGAUCAGCCACACUGGAACUGAGACACGGUCCAGACUCCUACGGGAGGCAGCAGUGGGGAAUAUUGGACAAUGGGCGCAAGCCUGAUCCAGCCAUACCGCGUGGGUGAAGAAGGCCUUCGGGUUGUAAAGCCCUUUUGUUGGGAAAGAAAAGCAGCAGGUUAAUACCCCGCUGUUCUGACGGUACCCAAAGAAUAAGCACCGGCUAACUUCGUG